rnacentral:rRNA from 1 species
UACGAAGGGGGCUAGCGUUGUUCGGAUUUACUGGGCGUAAAGCGCACGUAGGCGGAUCGUUAAGUCGGGGGUGAAAUCCUGGAGCUCAACUCCAGAACUGCCUUCGAUACUGGCGAUCUAGAGUCCGGAAGAGGUGAGUGGAACUCCUAGUGUAGAGGUGGAAUUCGUAGAUAUUAGGAAGAACACCAGUGGCGAAGGCGGCUCACUGGUCCGGUACUGACGCUGAGGUGGCGAAAGCGUGGGGAGCAAACAGGG